ACGUAACUGCUUAUUUAUUAAAUUAGUUUCAGCACCUAAUGCUUAUCAGCUACUUCAGCUAAUCCAAACGGGCUCCUAAUCUUUUAGCUCAAAGAAUGAGGCAAUCGAAGAACUUGACAAUUUCCGCCAUGCCUAUGAUUUCUAAUUUGCUCUAAUCAACGGCAAUUUUUGCAUAUGUAUGAGUGUGUGUGUGUCUUUUUGUCUCUCUAUCUUUGGCUACUUUGCUCCUGCGUUUUCAGGCAAAGCAUAGAUAAGAGAGGGACUUUCCAGGAUUCGAACUCAGGGCCUCUUGUUUGGUAAAACCCAUGUCAUUUUCUUCAUAGUAUCAGCUCAAAGAAUGAGGUAUCAGAGAAGGGUACUUUUUCUGGGAAUCGAACUUGGGACCUCUUGUGCUUUGAAAACAUUUGCUCCAGGUUUUACAAAAGAAUGAGGUAUCUCAGAAGGGUACUUUUUCUUCUCAGGUGAGCCCAUGAUUUCAAUCCAAAAGCACUUUGCUUUCUCAAUGUAGUUGUUAGAUAGAUAUAUGGAUAGAAAAUAUGAGCUGUGAUGAUCAUAUUCUUUUUCCUUCUUUCUCUGAGCAACUCAAUCCAGCAAGAAAAAGAAGGGACCCGUAUCUUGGCGGGGCAACAAGGUUGGCGGUUUCCUGUCAUGCAACCGGUGCUUGCAACCAUGGCGAUGUCUUCAUUCUCUUGUCAUAUUUUCAAUUCACUAUAUCUGAGCCUCAUUUUUUCUCUUAUGGUGUCUUUGGUAUGAUGGAAAAUCUUUAUCAUGAUGAAAUCAGUAUUUGGUACAAUGUAUCACUAUGAGAAGAGAAAGGUGGGAAAUUUUCUAGACAGAGCCAAGAAUUUUCCUAAAAAGAGGUCAGCCCAGAAAGAGAAAUGAGGCUAACAGGGAAGGAUUUUCUGUGAAGGGUGGUUUCCUCUCUCUGUUGUGCCAAUGAUUUUCUUUAGCUACUAAACCAACAGCCGCUGUUCAUGAAAUACAAACAGCUUUUCUGUCUGCAGCUUCAGACAUGUGUUUGUUUUUCCUCCUCUUGAGCAAUUGUACAGAUUACGGAAGAGGCAGUGAUGAUGAAGUUUCACUUUCUGGGCUAGCUGAAUCGGGGACUUGGACAACUUGACCCGUAUCUUGGCCUGGCAAAUCACUGGAUGGUCGGCAUUUGAGGUUCUCUCUUUUGCAUGCAACCAGUGAUUUUGCAGCCAUGGCGGAGUUGACUUCUCUUUGCCUGAUAAAUGCAGUCGAAAUAGGCACUCUUGUUCUUUAGGAUCCAUUAGAACUCAAGGAUAUAGUGGUACGAGCCCAUAGAACAGACCCUGUUCAAUUAAGGUUGUCAUUUUUUUAUAUAGUGGUCCUCUGCUUCUGCUGCGACCACUGCUGAUUUACACAGAUAGCCACUCUUAUGGCCUUGUAUUUAGAAGGCCACAACUGAUUUGCACAAAUAGGAUACUGAUAUGGACUGUGAUGAUUGCUUCUUUCUGGGCUACCUACUCACAGCGUUGAGAAAAUCCGACAUGUAUCUUAGCGGGGCAACCCAGUAUGACAUCAUUUGCAAACUGGUGUCUGCAGUCAUGACGUGUGUCGCUUUCUCUAGGCAUGUUCAUAUACAAAAAGUAUCUGAGUCCCAAAAUCUACGGCACCUUUGAUGGUCUUAAAUGGAUGGUCGUUUUUGGGAACUGAAAACCCACUUGGGUUCUUCAGUUUUUCUUUAGCACACCCCAUUUCAGAUGCAGUUCUCUAUCAAUCUUUUAGCUCAAUGAAUGAGGCAGUCGGAGAAAAACGGGAUUUUUCAGGGUGGUUGACCAUCUCCGGCAUGCCUGUGAUAUCUAUUUUCUUUUAGCUCUAGCCAAGAGCUCUUUUUGUUUAUGCAUGUGUUUGUGCAACCAACCCCCAUAUAUUAAGGAUCAUUUUCCCUCCGUUUUCUGUUACUGUUACAGUCUGUUUCGCAGAGGCUGCGGCUGUGUUUCCAUGGCAAAGCAACAGCAAAAGCAUACAACUUGAAAUGGAAAAGGGAAAAUAAUGGGGCUGUGAUGAUAAUUUUACUAAGCAAAUGGCAUCGGGCAUUGUUGUUUCACGCCCGUAUCUUGGCGGGGCAAUCCAUAUUAUAUGGUUUGCAGCCAUGGCGGUGUGAAAUAUCUCAGUGCCCGAGUUAAUUACAGAUCUGAGCCUCAAAUCUUUCAUCCAAAUCAUCUCUAAUGAGCAAAAUGAGAUGAGAGUUAGCCCAGAAAGAAGAAUGAGGCCAACAGAGAGAAAAGGAUUUCUUCGAGGGUGGUUGCUCUCUCUGUUUGGCCUAUGAAUUUCUGCAUAAACCAAACCAAUAACCCUCUUCUUUUCUCUCUCUCUUUUUUUUUUUUUUCAAUUGGUAUAUUUAGGGGUGUUCAUGGUUCGGUUUGGUUGACCAAAAAAGAAGAAAAAUAUCAGUUGCCAUUGAUGUGAUGCUGAUAGCAAUAGUACUCUCUCGGUUCAUUUAUGUGUCCUGAAACUGUCCACAAAUUGCUAUGCCAAGUUUUCAACUGUCCAAAGAGGCAGUGAUAAGAUUGCUAAGCUGGGUUAUUAUUCGGGAAAUGGAGAAAACCCGAAUCUUGGCGGGGCAAACUCGGAUCAUGCAACCAGUCCAUUUUGCAGCCAUGGCGUUGUCGUCUUCUCUUUCCCCCAUUUUACACAUAUCUGAGCCUCAAUUUCCACAGUCUUUAAAUAGGGGUCCUGAAAACGGCUAUAUGUGGACUUCCCCCACUUUACUGUGUUGAGAAAAUCCGACUCGUAUCUUGGCAGGGCGACCUGGUAUGGCAUCAUUUGCAAACCGUGUCUGCAGCCAUGACGUGUGUUGCUUUCUCUCUGCUUUUUCAUAGAAAAGCAAAAUCUGGGCCCUAAAACUUUUAGGGCAACCAUUUGAUGAUCUUGAAUUGGACGGCCGUUCUCUGGAACUGAAAAACCAAAUUGGGUUCUUCAGUUUUUCAUGAACACCCCAUUUCAGAUGCAGUUCUCCAUCAAAAUUUUAGCUAAAAAAUGAGGCGAUCGGAGAAAAAAUGGGAUUUUUUCAGGGUGGUUGACCAUCUCCAGCAUGCCUAUGAUUUCUUUUUUUGGCUCUAAUCAACAGCCCUUUUUGCAUAUCUAUGAUGUGUGUGUGUGUGUCUGUAUAUAUAUAUGUAUUGUAUGUCUCUUUCUGUCUCUCUAUCUAUCUGCGACUACUCUGCUCUUGUGUGGCUGCGUUCUUUAGGCAAAUCAGCACAAAAGCAUAAAAAAAGGGUCUCUUCGUGUUAAAUUGUCUUUUAUUGAUCAGUGUUUUUACUACACAAAAGUGGAGGUCCAGACCCUGGUAUGAACUAUGAAGAAUGAGGCCAACAGAGAGAAAAGGGAAUUCUUGUAGGGUGGUUGCCCUCUCUGCUUGGCCGAUGAUUCUCCAUCAACUAAACAAACAACCCUCUGUAGAAAUACUAGUACUGAUUUCUGAUUUCUCUGAGCUUAAACCAAACAUCCUCUGAUCCUAGCUUUUGGUUGUCAAAUAUUAUCCGAAUUGGCUCUAUGGAAAAGUUGUCAUUUUUCGAAAGAGGCGGUGAUGAUAUUGCUAAACGUUGGCUGAUAUUCGAGGGCAUAGAAACAGUCCGACCCGCAUCUUGGCAGGGCAAACCCGGAUGGUUUGUGAUUGAGGCUUCUCUGUUACAUGCAACUGCUUCUUUUGCAGCCAUGGCGUAGUCGCCUUCUCUUUGCCCCAUUUUAAGCAGAUCUGAGCCUCAAUUGUCUCCCAUAUCUUUCUUUGGGUGUAUUUGAUUAGGCGAAGCCCUCGUAGAUUUUAGCUCAGAAAGGAAGGAGGAGGAAUCAGAGAGAGAUGGGAUUUUCUUCAAAGGGUGGUUGCCCCUCUCUGCUAUGUCCCGUGAUUUCUCCAUUCAUAAAACCAACAGACCUUCAAGAAAAAAAAAACAAGAAAAGGUAUAUGAUAAACCAUUCCAACAACACCCUGGACUAUGUACUUCUCUAAAAAGGGCUUUGCUCUUCUUUCCUCUGCCUCUCCCGAUUUUCACAAAUAUCCACUUUUAUGGAUUUGUAUUUGGAAUCCACGACUGAUGGUGAUCUUCAUAGAUCCAGAAAAUUUCACCGGAUGUCCCUUUUGAGAGGUGUUGUGUAAUAAUGAUCCUAUAUGUGCAAAUCUCCCUCACAGAUCACCUGAACUGGGCUAUGAUGAUUGCUUCUUUCUGGGGGGUCUUUUGCACAGCAGUGAGAAUUGGCCCAGAAGGAAGAAUGAGGCCAACAGAGAGAAAAUGGAUUUCUUCGAGGGUGGUUGCCCUCUCUGGCUGGCCUAUGAUUUCUCCACCAGCCAAACUAACAACCCUCUUCCCUUUUUUUUUUUUCCAGUUGGUUAUUUGUGAAAUUACAUAGCUUUUUAAGCAAAAGAGAGAAUUUUGAGGCUGUGAUGAUACUGUCUUCUCUUCUUUUAUGAGCUAAUCAAUUGGUCAAGAGAAAUAAAGGGACCCGUAUCUUGGCGGGGCAAUCCGGAUGGCAACUGAUCUUUGUGUCAUGCAACCGGUGUUUGCAGUCAUGGCGAUGUCUUCAUUCUCUUGUCUUAUCAACAGAUCUGAGCCUCCAUUUUACUCUUAUAGCUUGUUUGGAUGGUUGUUACUCAAUGUAUUGUAUUGUUAUUUUAUAAGGGCGUCUUUGGUAUGAUGGAAAACAUCUGUCUUUGGUUACUAAUGUACAACUCUGAGAAGAAGAAAGUUCAGAAUCAGGUGAGAGCCGAGAAUUUUCCUAAAAAAGAGUUGGCCCGGAAAGAGAAAUGAGGCUAACAGAGUGAAGGGAUUUUCUGUCAAGUGUGGUUGGCCCUCUCUGUUGUGCCAAUGUUUUUCUGUAGCUACUAGACCAACAGCCCUUGUUCAUGAAAUACGGAGAAACAUCAUAUUCUUUUUCAGUCUACAGCUUAAGCCAUGGACCUCUGUGUAUGUGUGUUUCUUUUUCCUCCUUUGGAAUAAUUUUACAAAAGAGGAAAACAGUGAUGAUAAUAUUCUUUCACUUUCUGGGCUAAACAUAUUGGACAUUGUGGACAAUCCGUAUCUUGGCCUGGCAAAUCCCUUGUUGUGCAUGCAACUGGUGAUUUUGCAGCCAUGGCGUAGUUGCCUACUUGCCUUCACUUUGUCCGAGCAAAAUGCAGUAUCUGAGCCUCAAAUUUCUGGAAAUCGAACUCGGGACGUAUGGUGCUUUGAAAAAUGUGGUAUGCAUGUAAAAGAUGGAUCUUUUGUAUAUACCCAUGUUGUUUUUGUUGCUGUUGCUUUGAGCCGAGGGUCUAUCAGAAACAGCCUCUCUACCUCCACGAGGUAAUGUCUUGUACACACUAUCCUCCCCAGUGAUUGUAAUGCCUUCUUAUCUUUUGAGCAAUUUGGGUUAGGUGUUGAGAUGAUAACAGCCAUAUCUUGGCGGGGUAACGUGGGAAGGUUGCAGCAAUGCCUGAUUGAAUUGAAAUCUGAGCUUCUUAUGUAAAUGAUGCUUAUGUAUAUUGUCUGUAUACUACAUACCUACAUACAUGCAUGCAUGCAUGUAUACAUGCAUGCAUAUCAGGAGAAAAUGUCCAAAAUGGUCCCUUAUCAAGGCAGUGAUGAUCGUUCAAUCUAUCCUUCUGAGCUAGUAAUUGGGCAUCGAGAGUAUCCAGCAUGUACUUGGCCCGGCAAUGACCCGGAUGCAUGUGAUUUUCUUACUUGCAACUUGGGGUAUUGCAGCCAUGGCGUGGCUGGACUUUCUUUGCCUGAACAUGAAUAAGUUCUGAGCCUCAAUUGUCCCUUAUAUUUUACUCUGGCUGUAUUUGACAUGGAAGAAACUGUUUCAGCCGAUAGAUGAAGCAAAAGGUGAAACAAAAAUGGCAAAAGUUUCAUUAGUUUAAGUCUAAGGCUGCUGGAUUGAGAGAGUUGUGGGGAGUUGUGUGAGUGGUUGUCCCUCUCUGUCAUUCUUAGCAGCCAAUGAUCCACUUAAAAUUUUCACUUAGGCAGUGAAGAUUUUCAUUCUUUACUCAUCAGAUGGUUGAACUGAGCUUUGCUACAUCUUGGCGUGGCAUCUCUUUGGUGGUCUUGUGGAUAUUGGAGCUAUUUUUUGUUUCUGUGUCUCGCGAAGGCUUCUUGAGCUUGCAGCCAUGGCGGAGUUUAGCUUAUGUAUGAGAAAAAGCGAAUCUGAGCCUCCCAAAUAUCUUUUUGUGUUCCAAGAGCGAGGCUUUUUAUGGAACUCGGAGGAAGGUUGAGAUUUUUUAAGGGUGGUUACUCUCUUCCUCUGAAGUUCAAUUUAGCCAAUGAAUUUUCCUAUGCUUUUAUCAUAAAGAGAAAGUUUAACUUCCCUUCAAGAGAAAAUACAUAUUUUGCCCCCCUAAACUUGUCCGGAAAAACCCGAAUCCUAAACCCUAAAGUUUGUGAAUGAGGCUGUGAUGAUAUUCUCCAGGAAGCUUUAAAACCAGAUUGGCUGAGCAAAGGCAUGGGAAUUUCUGAGGUUGGUCCUUUAUGUGCUCUCUCAGAAAGGCAUCUGCUUUUGCAGACAUGGCGGAUUAGCCGUUUUUUCUGAUAGAUUUUUAUGCAAAUCUGAGCCUUUUUCUUUCAUUCUUUCUACGUUCUUGUUCUUUCUUCUGCAGAAUAUCAGGAAGAAUCCUCAUCUCAAAAGAUAUGAAACAAGUCCAAAGAAAAAGGAAGUGAAUUUUGAGGAUUCAUAUAUUGUCUUUAACCAGUUUGAUAUUGAAGCUAGUUGUUGCUGCAGUUAUCUACACAAUAUUCAAACUUUCAUGCCUUUGUUUCAAUCUUGAACACUCGAAGUUUCAGAGGCAGUGAAGAUUAUAUAUAAUGAAAAUGAAAAGUGAAGAAGAUUAGAGUUGAUUCAUGCCUGGCUUGUCUUUCUAGAAACAGAUUUAGAUUACCUUCAUUGUGGAACCACUGAAGUCAAGAGCUCCAGCUUCCAACUCUAAAUCCUAAAGAGAAAUGGGGUUUCUGGGUUGAGUACAAGCAUUUGUUAUACUGCCAUUUCGAGUGGCUAUCAACAAUCUGGAUGAGGAGCUUGAGUUUUCUCCUUCGGACUUAAAAUUCGGUCUUUAUUGGGUUGAUGGAAAUUGGAUCUGCCAGCAUGAAAUGAUGGAAUGACAGUUUAUUGGCAUCCACAAAUACGAGGAAAGACCAGCUUAUACUAGACAUUCUAAUGGGAGUCGCACGUCAUAUGUCACGUUUGCCUCAGCUUGACUACUUGCACGAGGCCUCAGAGAUGCAAUUCUCUGAUUCUUGGCUACUGAAGUUUAGAGCUAUUGCUUUGUUCUUAAAUGUUAAUUUGUAUAAAAUGCACUAUGGUGGUUCAUUUUUUCUCACCCAAGAAUGUUGAUUAAUGUGGACGAAAUAUCAGUUUUUCUGCUAUUUUUUGCAAUUGCAGCAUCCACUGGGUGAUGAUCAUCAGAUCAAUCUUGUCAUUUGAAUCAGUUGAGAUAUGGAAUGUGUUUUACAGCAAA